AACGAACGCUGGCGGCAUGCCUAACACAUGCAAGUCGAACGAGACCUUCGGGUCUAGUGGCGCACGGGUGCGUAACGCGUGGGAACCUGCCCUUAGGUUCGGAAUAACUCCCCGAAAGGGGUGCUAAUACCGGAUAAUGUCUUCGGACCAAAGAUUUAUCGCCUUUGGAUGGGCCCGCGUUGGAUUAGCUAGUUGGUAGGGUAAAAGCCUACCAAGGCGACGAUCCAUAGCUGGUCUGAGAGGAUGAUCAGCCACACUGGGACUGAGACACGGCCCAGACUCCUACGGGAGGCAGCAGUGGGGAAUAUUGGACAAUGGGCGAAAGCCUGAUCCAGCAAUGCCGCGUGAGUGGUGAAGGCCUUAGGGUUGUAAAGCUCUUUUACCCGGGAUUAUAAUGACAGUACCGGGAGAAUAAGCGCCGGCUAACUCCGUG
rnacentral:rRNA from 1 species